rnacentral:rRNA from 1 species
CCUACGGGUGGCAGCAGUGAGGAAUAUUGGUCAAUGGCCGGAAGGCUGAACCAGCCAUGCCGCGUGAAGGUCAGUGCCCUAUGGGCGUUAAACUUCUUUUGUGCGGGAGCAAUAAUGGUCACGUGUGGCCAGACGAGAGUACCGUACGAAUAAGCAUCGGCUAACUCCGUGCCAGCAGCCGCGGUAAUACGGGGGAUGCAAGCGUUAUCCGGAUUUAUUGGGUUUAAAGGGUGCGUAGGCUGUGAGGUAAGUCAGCGGUGAAAUGCCCCCGCUCAACGGGGUGAAGUGCCAUUUAUACUGCCUGGCUGGAAUGCGGAUGCCGUGUGAGGAAUGUGUGGUGUAGCGGUGAAAUGCAUAGAUAUCACACAGAACACCGAUUGCGAAGGCAUCUCACGAAUCCGCGAUUGACGCUGAUGCACGAAAGCGUGGGUAUCAAACAGGAUUAGAUACCCGGGUAGUC